rnacentral:rRNA from 1 species
AUUGAACGCUGGCGGCAGGCCUAACACAUGCAAGUCGAACGGUAGCACAGAGAGCUUGCUCUCGGGUGACGAGUGGCGGACGGGUGAGUAAUGUCUGGGAAACUGCCCGAUGGAGGGGGAUAACUACUGGGAACGGUAGCUAAUACCGCAUAACGUCGCAGGACCAAAGAGGGGGGACCUUCGGGCCUCUUGCCAUCGGAUGUGCCCAGAUGGGAUUAGCUUGUAGGUG